CAAUUGCAUACUACAAAAAUGGCAAAGGCGAAUGCAGUUUUCCAUGCAAGGAUGUGUUCCCCGGCAAAGUCAUCCUCAGUGAAUGUCCCGAUGUCACAUUAACUACUGGUUGCAUCACCAAGGAUGGGGUAUAUGAAGAGACCAUGCUGUACUUCUCAGUGAUAAGCAGACAAACUGUCUCUAUGACAACCACUAAC